rnacentral:rRNA from 1 species
UACGUAGGGUGCGAGCGUUGCCCGGAUUUAUUGGGCGUAAAGGGCGCGUAGGCGGCCACGCACGUCCGUUGUGAAAUCGCCCGGCUCAACUGGGCGGGGUCAGCGGAUACGGCGUGGCUAGAGCAAGCUAGGGGGCAAUGGAAUUCCCGGUGUAGUGGUGGAAUGCGUAGAUAUCGGGAGGAACACCGGUGGCGAAGGCGGAUCUCUGGGCCUUGCCUGACGCUGAGGCGCGAAAGCUAGGGGAGCGAACAGG